GAUGAACGCUGGCGGCGUGCCUAAUACAUGCAAGUCGAGCGAACAGACGAGGCGCUUGCUCCUCUGACGUUAGCGGCGCACGGGUGAGUCACACGUGUAUAACCUACCUAUAAGACUGGGAUAACCUCGGGAAACCGGAGCUAAUACCGGAUAAUAUAUUGCACCGCAUGGUUCAAUAGUGAAAGACGGUUUUGCUGUCACUUCUCGAUGGAUCCGCGCCGCAUGAGCUAGUUGUUAGGGUAACGGCUUACCAAGGCAACCAUGCGUAGCCGACCUGAGAGGGUGGUCGGCCACACUAGAGCUGAAACACGGUCCAGACUACUGAGGGAGGCAGCAGUAGGGAAUCUGCCGCAACGGGCGAAAGCUUGACGGAGCAACGGCGCGUGAGUGAUGGAGGUGUUCGGAGCGUAAAACUCUGUUAUUAGGGAAGAACAAAUGUGGACGUAACUAUGCACGUCGUGACGGUAACUAGUCAGAAAGCCACGGCUAACUACGUG
rnacentral:rRNA from 1 species